AUGGUGAUUGGUGAUCUCAACAAAAUUAUGUACUCUUUUGAGAAGCAUGGCGUUAAUGACCGGCCGAUUCAGUUUAUGCAGGCUUUCAGAGAUGUUGUUGAAGAGUGUGACUUGCUGGACCAUAAGUUUGUUGGGAAUAUAUUUACUUGGCACAAAGGCUUGAUAAGAGAAAGAUUAGACCGUGCUCUACUAAGCGAGGGAUGGUUUGCUAUGUAUCCGGGUUCAAAACUGGUACAUUUGGAUUAUUAUAAAUUUGACCACCGUCCUUUGUUGAUGAAUCUACAGGUUGAAGCAGUGCAGGAAUCAGCGAGGCCAUCAGUUCUUCGUUUUCAGGCCUGCUGGCUCAGAGAGGCCAAAUUCUGA
rnacentral:rRNA from 1 species